GUGGUGCCAAAACUGAGUGCCUCUAAUCCAUUUGUCACCAACGGUUCUUAAUUGCAAAACAUGGAGAACUCAAGUCACACACAUAAGUAGCCACGGACCAUGUCGAGUUUGACCAUGUCAAAAUCCUUCAUUGUUCUUCUCUUUGUGAUCUUGCACAAGUCCCAUAUACGGUACACAUCAUCUCUCUCCCCUUCAACAGAAAAAACAAACAACCCGAACUGUCUCCUGCACCAUUGCUCUUAAAACCUCUCUCCGACACGAAUCCCUCCAACCCUGCUUCACCACCGGAACAUUGAGAAAUAUUCUCGGUGACACUGAGGUUGAAAAACCCAAUCGAACCGCAGACGUACCAGGAAUCGAACCAUGUAUUAACGCCAUUGAAAAAGUGAAAAACGAAAUAUUGAGAAUUUGUUUGCUUUGGACACGUGUCCGCCUCUCUCAUUUUAAUUUAGUUUUGAUUAAUUUUUCAUCGAAAAUAUCAAGAGAGCCUCACAAAAAUUGCAUUACAGCCUCCCAUUGGAGGUGCUCUAAAUACCCCAUAGCAAAACAAGCUGCUCAGAAACACUUUGUUUUUACCAAAAAAUAAAGCUGGUAAGUUGUUGGUAAG